rnacentral:rRNA from 1 species
GACGAACGCUGGCGGCGUGCUUAACACAUGCAAGUCGAACGGUAAGGCCCUUCGGGGUACACGAGUGGCGAACGGGUGAGUAACACGUGGGUGAUCUGCCCUGCACUUCGGGAUAAGCCUGGGAAACUGGGUCUAAUACCGGAUAGGACCACUGCCUGUAUGGGUGGUGGUGGAAAGCUUUUGCGGUGUGGGAUGGGCCCGCGGCCUAUCAGCUUGUUGGUGGGGUGAUGGCCUACCAAGGCGACGACGGGUAGCCGGCCUGAGAGGGUGACCGGCCACACUGGGACUGAGAUACGGCCCAGACUCCUACGGGAGGCAGGAGUGGGGAAUAUUGCACAAUGGGCGCAAGCCUGAUGCAGCGCCGCCGCGUGAGGGAUGCCGGCCUUCGGGUUGUAAACCUCUUUCAGCACCGACGAAGCGCAAGUGACGGUAGGUGCAGAAGAAGGACCGGCCAACUACGUGCCAGCCGCCGCCGUAA